AUGCGUCCCUCCCGCACUCAGGGCUGGGGCCACGCCAGGGCGUGGUCCCAGAGUGAGGAUUCUUUGGGGCUUGGAGGCUGCCCACCGGCCGCUCCCGUGAGGACCUUUGGAGAGUGGGAUGAGGGGUCUCCAGAACGUCCCCCUGACGCUUCACUGCCACCCUGUGAGGUCAGCACUAUUAUUACUCCCGCUUGUGGGGCGCAGAGAGGGAGGGGGCUGGCUCUCAAGCCCACAGCCUGUAAGAGCUGGAGCUGGCUGGGAGCCCAGGGAGGAAGCUGGGGACACUUCUGUGACCGAGACUCCACCCCCAGAAAUGCCCUGGCGGCAGCCGGAGCCGCUAGGGGCGCGCGACCUCCCGGGGCCGUUUUCACGGAGAUCCCCUGCUUCGGGAGAGGAGAGGGAGGCACGGAGGGGCUCAGUGGCCUCCAAGGUCUCAGGAGGGUGAGGUGGGCUCCAAGUUCAAACCCAGACCUGAAGGUCCAUGUUCGCCCCUCCCCCCAACAAGGGCCGCAGCGUUUUCCUCGGCAGGGAAGAGCCGCUGUCGCCGCUCGCCUGGGGGGCAGCACCGCGCGCCACCGCACAGCCCGGGGACCACGCCGCGCGUUUCGACUCCCGCAGGGCUUGCGGGUGGGGGUGUCCGGUGCCGACGCGCAGUCUGCGCACUUGGGGCUCCGCGCCUUCGGGACCCGCGGGCGACCGGCUCCCCCAGGCCAGCGCUCGUGUGUCCCUCGGCCUCCCACCCGAAGAGGGAUUAAGUGGGAACUCUGACCCCUGUCCCCGAGCCCUGAUGGGGAGAAUUAAUCCGAUUGUUUUCAAACCCCGGCCCUCGCCUUGCAAACUGCCCCGCAGCCCGCUGCCCGCUCCCUCUCUCAGGCUGGUCUGCGUGCGUCUCUUCCCUUCAAGGCCCUCUGGCUUUGCGGGGAGGGGCUUGUUGGCCCAUUUUAAGGCGGCCCAGGGGGUCGGGCAGCGCCUUGACCAGGGGUUCGAGUCCUGCAGUGCUCUUUCCUGUGCUUGUGGACGCCCCCUCCCCCUUUGGAGGCCCACUUAUUCCGGAAGGCUUGCCUCCACUUGGUGACUCAUGCCGGGAGUGGGUCCUUUGUUCGGAGCCCUGGGCGCCUGCUGGGGAGGGCGCCCACGUGACUGCUUCUUUCUCCAGAUCCCCAGCCCUGCCGCCUGGACUUGACCCCUGCAGGGCCUGGAGAAGGGCCAUCCUGCAGCUUCGAUUUCCCGCCGCCCUCUGCACUGGCUUUGUGACCUGUGACAGCUCUCCCGGGCUGUAGCUCCAGGGGCCUGGUUCCCACCCCUUGGCGGCUCAUCAUGCGGGUUCCUUGGCCCACCUUCCAAUGCCUCUUCCUUCAGAUAAGGGCGCUCUGAUGUUCCAGAAGGAACCCUCCUGAGCCAUCUUGGGAGUAUAUGGUAUAGUGGGCGGCACCCCACCCUCCUAGCUCCAGGCCUGGCAGUCAGCAUUCCCCCACUGCUUUAGAGAAAGGCACCCAGCCCUGCAGGUGGGCAGGGGGCUGGUGUCCUCAGACAGGGACCUCAUCCAUGGGAGGGUAAGGGCAGAGAGCAGAGUCUCGGGGUCCCAGGGCCCUGGGUGCAGCUCGGUCUGAGGCUGGGUCCACACUGGACUUGGCCUCUUGGCUUUUUGACUUCAGGCUGCUUAGAGGCUUCCAGUCCCCACCUGACUCUGGAUUCCAUCUGGACUUGGUUAUCAGUUCACGCUAAGCUGUCCGGGGUUCCAUUCCUGCAUUCAGCACCUGCUCUCCGAGAUGGCCUCAGGAUGUGUCCUGAGGGACACAGACACAGGCCUGCCCGGCCUGGGAUGUUACAGGGUGAUCCGUGCCACCCAACUACGGGGAGGCGGAUGGAGCCACCGAGAGACCUGCAGUGUGAGUUUGGAAGUGACUAGUGAAGGGGCUGGAGUCAGGGAGACAGAAAGUGCUCUGAACAGUUGGCCCUGAGACUGGAGAGGACUCCCAGUCUCCUUUGGAAAAUCGGCUGUGGGGGCGGGGAGCCGAGACGCCCAGCGGAGCCUUGUGGGCCACAUGCAGGCCUUUGGAUUUUAGCCCGACAGCACUCAGGAGCCGCGCAUGGGCUGUACGCGGGGUGAAGUGCGGCCAGUUAGGGUUUUAAUAGAUCCCUCUGGCCUCGGUGGCUUCCCAGGCUCUGCCAGCUUGGCAGGAAAAGCCCUGGUGGGCUUUGUGGGAGGGUGAGGGGAUGGGCGCGAUGCCCAUUUUGCAGAUGUGAGAUCCUGCCUGUGAUGGGCUGGACCACUUCGGGAAGGCGUCCCAGGCUGCAGAUAAGCAGGAAUCACAGGAAGAUAUGCCAAGAGGCAGAUGUGGGUAGAGGAGUGACUGAAAGGGAACAGCAUGUGCAAAGCGGAGAGGCAGGAAAGAGCACAGUGUGCCUGGAGAACCCCUAAAUUAGAACUCGAGUGUCCGUGUUCCCAGGUGGCUCAGUGGGUUAAGGAUCCGGCAUUGUCACUGCUGUGGCUCUGGUUACUGCUGUGACACAGGUUUGAUCUCUGGCGUGGGAACUCCCGCAUGAUGCCAGUGUGACCAAAAAAAAAAGAGGAAGAACUUGAGCGUAAAACCCUUGAAGUGUGUCUGCACGUGUGUGUGUCUCUCCGAGGCUGUGAAGGUGAAGGUGCAGGCCAGGAGCAGCGAUAGGGUCCACACUGGGUGGGCUGGUGGUUGCGG
rnacentral:lncRNA from 9 species